rnacentral:rRNA from 1 species
UACGUAGGGUGCGAGCGUUGUCCGGAAUUAUUGGGCGUAAAGAGCUCGUAGGCGGUUUGUCGCGUCUGCUGUGAAAACGCGAGGCUCAACCUCGCGCCUGCAGUGGGUACGGGCAGACUAGAGUGCGGUAGGGGGAGAUUGGAAUUCCUGGUGUAGCGGUGGAAUGCGCAGAUAUCAGGAGGAACACCGAUGGCGAAGGCAGGUCACUGGGCCGUCAACUGACGCUGAGGAGCGAAAGCGUGGGGAGCGAACAGG